GCUUGCUGGUGUGGAUGAGUGGCGAACGGGUGAGUAAUACGUGAGUAACCUGCCCUUGACUCUGGGAUAAGCCCGGGAAACUGGGUCUAAUACUGGAUGCUACAUGUCACCGCAUGGUGGUGUGUGGAAAGGGUUUACUGGUCUUGGAUGGGCUCACGGCCUAUCAGCUUGUUGGUGAGGUAAUGGCUCACCAAGGCGACGACGGGUAGCCGGCCUGAGAGGGUGACCGGCCACACUGGGACUGAGACACGGCCCAGACUCCUACGGGAGGCAGCAGUGGGGAAUAUUGCACAAUGGGCGAAAGCCUGAUGCAGCGACGCCGCGUGAGGGAUGACGGCCUUCGGGUUGUAAACCUCUUUCAGCAGGGAAGAAGCCACAAGUGACGGUACCUGCAGAAGAAGCGCCGGCUAACUACGUGCCAGCAGCCGCGGUAAUACGUAGGGCGCAAGCGUUGUCCGGAAUUAUUGGGCGUAAAGAGCUCGUAGGCGGUUUGUCGCGUCUGCUGUGAAAGCCCGGGGCUUAACCCCGGGUGUGCAGUGGGUACGGGCAGACUAGAGUGCAGUAGGGGAGACUGGAAUUCC
rnacentral:rRNA from 1 species